UACGUAGGGGGCAAGCGUUGUCCGGAUUUACUGGGCGUAAAGAGCGCGCAGGCGGUCGUUCAAGUCGAGUGUGAAAGCCCCCGGCUCAACUGGGGAGGGUCACUCGAUACUGAUCGACUCGAAGGCAGGAGAGGGAAGUGGAAUUCCCGGUGUAGUGGUGAAAUGCGUAGAUAUCGGGAGGAACACCGGUGGCGAAGGCGGCGAUCUGGCCCAACACUGACACUGAGACCCAAAAGCGUGGGGAUCAAACAGG
rnacentral:rRNA from 1 species